UAACACGNGAGCAACCNGCCUUCGAGAGGGGAAUAACGGCUGGAAACGGUCGCUAAUACCGCAUAAUAUACAGGAGGGACAUCCCUUUUGUAUCAAANAUUUAUCGCUCGAANAUGGGCUCGCGUCCNAUUAGGUAGUUGGNGAGGUAACGGCCCACCAAGCCGACNAUCGGUAGCCGGACUGANAGGUUGAACGGCCNCNUUGGGACUGANACACGGCCCAAACUCCUACGGNAGGCAGCAGNGGGGGAUAUUGCACAANGGGGGAAACCCUGAUGCANCGACGCCGCGNGUGGNAANACGGUCCUCUGGAUUGUAAACCACUGUCCCCAGGGANGAAGAUGACGGUACCUGGGGAGGAAGCUCCGGCUAACUACGUGCCAGCAGCCGCGGUAAUACGUAGGGAGCAAGCGUUGUCCGGAAUUACUGGGUGUAAAGGGAGCGUAGGCGGGAUGGCAAGUUGGGUGUUAAAUCUACCGGCUCAACUGGUANUCKSACUCNNAACUGCUAUUCUUGAGUGAAGUANANGCAGGCGGAAUUCCUAGUGUAGCGGUGAAAUGNGUAGAUAUUANGAGGAACACCAGUGGCGAAGGCGGCCUGCUGGGCUUUUACUGACACUGANGCUCGAAAGUGUGGGGAGCAAACAGGAUUAGAUACCCUGGUAGU
rnacentral:rRNA from 1 species